rnacentral:lncRNA from 1 species
CCCUGAAGCUGAAUCACAUACUAUAAUGAAUAUGUAAUCCUAUUGUUAUAGUUAUCCAUAUGCAAUAUCCUUAUCUCCAAAAUAAUUCAUGACUUAUAACCGAACAGUAACAUGAUUCCCCAAAUAAAGAAUGCAUUUACUAGUAUGAAUUCCAACUGUAAAUUUCUGACCUCAAAACUAUACAUAUCAUCUUAACAAAUUCAAGCAAAUCCCUACAACAAACACUGACUUCGACAGGCUAAAACAGAUCUGAAACAUGUUUAGUUCUACUGAAAUUUCUACUACACUAUUUCUCCAUAAUCCACACAUACGAAUAGGACUUCAACUCAUUAAAACCAAAACGAAUGAAUGAAGGCAUUUGUCCAAUACUAUAAACAGAACUUAAAACUUCAAUAGACAGGAGUAAACAUACGCAUGAAGAGAAUUAAUUAAUUACAGAACCAAAUGGUGCAGAAAUAACAUCUAAUGAACAGAUACGUCAUUGAUUUUCAACUCAAUCAAACAUCUUCAAUCCUUUCAUUUCAACAUGUCACGGGGUUCACUGAAUACCUGAUUAACAGCCAAACCAACAAAGGAAAUGAGCUCAAAAUUAAGAAGAGGACAACAACAAAGUAUCAGCAACUAAAACAGCCAAACAAUCAGCAACUACUCAGCCUUUUGAACCAACUUCGAACCCAGAAUAAAUACAACCUUUAGAGCUUUUGAAAAAUCUGACUAGCAGGGAACUUAAGGAGCAGAAACCAACCAAUUCUAAGCAAUUUUCAGUAUUUUAGAGUCUAGAAGAAGCUGAGUUGUUCCUAAAGUUUUCUAAUAUUU